UGUUGAAUAAGAGGUGUCCCCAGGACUGUCUGAUCUGAGAAUGGUGAAAUAUUAAUGUCAAUCUCAGGUUCGUCAGCCCAUGCGGCAUCUUUUGAGAGCA